CGGGCAAAUCAACAUGAUCCUCAUCUAAUUUUGAAAUCAUACUAAAAUAUUUGUUCAACAAAUUACAUUUCUCCUCAUCUUCAUAUACAGUAUCAUUCAGUUCAUUAUCAUUUAUAAUAUUUUGGAGAGGGGGUAUGGUUUCUGAACCUUUUUUGGAUUUAAUUAACGUUUUCAUUAAUUUCCAAUACGUUUUUGAGUUUGAGGGUUGUUUUGAUAUUAGACAGUCCAAAUUUGUUUCAAAAUUUUCUUUGGCGAUUUUUUUCAUAUUAUUUACCUUAUUUCGUUGUUUUUUGUACUUCAUAAUAUUAUUUUCACAAUUAUAUUUAAUC
rnacentral:lncRNA from 1 species